CCGUGAUGAAGCGGUGGUGGCUGCCCCGCCGCCCACGCUCGUGGGAUAUGUACAUGGCACACUCGUCUGGACCGCGAGGCUCGUAGUAGUGGCUUUAAGACCGGGCUCCUGCAGUUAACCUCCAUAAUCAGAAAGGUAAACCCAUGUCAGAUGUAUCACGUUUGCAAGAGGAGAGGAUGAAGUCCAGAGACGAUCAACAAACACACGCAGAUGGUGCAGAGGCCUUUGCUGGAUCUCCAUGAGUCAGCUGAGAAUCCAGCGCCAGAGGACAUGACUGAGAUGCUACAUGACUGACGAGGAUUCAACUGAUUACUGGAAGUUUGGAGUCUUCAUCUGCACACCAUCAUUGACCUUUUGUGAUAUUUUUGGAUUGUACCCUUGAACACACUGCGUAGGAUUCUGAAAUAAUUAUGAUAUUAUCAGAUUAUCGUCUACAGCACUUGUCAAUUUAUACCAGUUUAUUUCCAAAUUUAGUGGCUCUGAUCUGUGCUUCUGACAAAACACUUCUAACACUUCUAAGAUGAGUGCAGACUGAAGAUGAACAAGUGUCUCCACCUCAUCUGUACAGUACUGGAGAGACUGAAGCGGCCGGCCGGGGGAUAAACAGGAGGUGGGGGCGAUAUCUAAACUGCGUUCCGCUGUAAUUUAACUCCUCGUUGUAGACAAAAUUGUAAAGCAGCAAGCAAGAUUUGAACCACACUUUCUCACUUUCUCUCUGCUAUGAUCGAUAGCCUUUUACACUAAACUUGACUGAACAAUUCAGUCUUCGUUUUGAAUGAGCUUCCGCUAUUUCGACCAAUCAGAAGCGGAGCUAGGCGGAGCACAAUCAGGUGACCAAUCACAGCGUUUUGCCUGUCGACGCUAGCUCGUUCGUGUCGUCACUAGCUGUGAGCAGCGAGAGCAGAGCGGUGGAGAAACAACGCCUAAAAAAAGAGUGAAAAUCAACGUUUGAGUCGCUGCUUUGUAAGCACGUGGAGAAACUGUAUUACUGAGGAUGUUUGGAUGCUAAAACAGGUUUUGGAGUUGUUUUCGUCGAAGACGAGUGACGCUGGACGCUUACACCUGCAACGCGAAGGUGUUUAUUUGGCUCUACUUAUUCAGCUGCUGCAGCCUGGAAGGAAACACCAGCUCUCACCAUACAGACUAGAGGUGUCACCACUUCUUCAAGGAGCACAGACCAGAUGAGACCAGGAUCCACGACAGAGACCACCAGGGGAACUCUCAGAAACCACAGGAUCCACUAAAGGUGAAGGGGGAGACAUCGGCAGCAGGUGGAGUUCUGGACCUGAAGUGGAUGAAAGAAAACAGUUAUGACAAGACACGGUUAAUUAGAGGGACAGACCACAGACUGAUGGAAAACCUCCAGCAUCUUUCGGCAAACUGUUGUUCAAGUGUACUUUGUUUUGUUUUACCUCCCUCACUCAUGGCAUUAGAAUGUAGUUGUGAGCACACAUGAGGACAUUUCCAAAGACUAACAUGUCUCUCUAUUUAACUGCUUAUAACACAAUUGUUUAAUUAAUUGUACUAUAAGCCUUUAAACAGAGAGACAUAUUAGUCAUUGGAAAUGUCCUCAUGUGUGCUCACAAGUACAUCAUGUUAAGUGAGAGAUUAAAACAAAGCGCCUCCUACAGGUGAAACAUUUGUCACUAUCUUUGCUGUGGCUUACUUAAUGUCUGGAACAAAAUCAUUCAUAUUUUCACAUUAGCCAUGAUUUCUAACACUAAUUAAUGUUGAUUAUAGUUAUUCUCUAGCAAUUAAGAGUAAUUAUAUUAUUAAAAGUAGUAAUACUUUUUUUUCCCCCUCUAAUUUAUAUUAAGAAACUACAUUGUGUGCAACUGUAUGUUCCAGAAAACAGGUUGUAACUGUAAAAUCACAGCAGAGAUAAUGACUGAGGCAGACUCACAGUAUUGAAAACAAUAAACCAACACUUACCUUCUGUAAAUCUUCAUGUCUGUAUUUUCUCUCUCUGUGAGCUGAAGUGUUUCCUGGUUGAAGUUUGAGUCCUGUGGAGAAAAUCAGAAACAGUAACAUGAGCAACUUUUUAAACCAUCAGAAUAAAAGCACAGAGAGUUUCUGGGUAACAUAACUGUUUAAAGUUGUUAAAAAACACUGGGGUGAGAGUGUAUAGUGUUGUCACGAGGACAACUACAUUACAUUAUAAAUGCCAAAUUUGGGUGAGCUAUUAAAACAAAGUGCCUCCUUGUCAAACUUCUGUCAUCUUUGUUUAAUGAUGUUUUCUGAAACAAGAUCAUUAAAAGUGUCUUACUGAACUCA